rnacentral:rRNA from 1 species
UACGGGGGGGCAAGCGUUGUUCGGAAUUACUGGGCGUAAAGGGCUCGUAGGCGGCCAGCUAAGUCGGAUGUGAAAUCCCCAGGCUCAACCUGGGAACUGCAUCCGAUACUGGAUGGCUUGAAUUCGGGGAGAGGGAUGCAGAAUUCCAGGUGUAGCGGUGAAAUGCGUAGAUAUCUGGAGGAAUACCGGUGGCGAAGGCGGCAUCCUGGACCGACAUUGACGCUGAGGAGCGAAAGCCAGGGGAGCAAGC